rnacentral:rRNA from 1 species
GUGCCAGCAGCCGCGGUAAGACGGAGGAUGCAAGCGUUAUCCGGAAUGAUUGGGCGUAAAGCGUCCGCAGGUGGCAGUUCAAGUCUGCUGUCAAAGACCGGGGCUUAACUUCGGAAAGGCAGUGGAAACUGAACAGCUAGAGUAUGGUAGGGGCAGAGGGAAUUCCUGGUGUAGCGGUGAAAUGCGUAGAGAUCAGGAAGAACAUCGGUGGCGAAGGCGCUCUGCUGGACCAUAACUGACACUCAGGGACGAAAGCUAGGGGAGCGAAUGGGAUUAGAAACCCCCGUAGUCC